AAGCUCGUAGUUGAAUUUCGGCAUCAAUGGGUCGGUCAUGCCAAUGGUAUGUGCUGGCCUCNUUGGUUCUCACCUUCUAAGGAACCAUAAUGUCAUUUAUUUGAUGUUGUGGGAAAUUAGGACUGUUACCUUGAAAAAAUUAGAGUGUUUAAAGCAGGCCAACGCUUGAAUACAUUAGCAUGGAAUAAUGAAAUAGGACAUCGCAUUCUAUUUUGUUGGUUUCUAGGAUCGUUGUAAUGAUUAAUAGGGAUAGUUGGGGGCAUUAGUAUUCAAUUGUCAGAGGUGAAAUUCUUGGAUUUAUUGAAGACUAACUACUGCGAAAGCAUUUGCCAAGGAUGUUUUCAUUGAUCAAGAACGAAAGUUAGGGGAUCGAAGACGAUCAGAUACCGUCGUAGUCUUAACCAUAAACUAUGCCGACUAGGGAUCGGAUGAUGUUGAUUUUUUAAUGACUCAUUCGGCACCUUACGGGAAACCAAAGUGUUUGGGUUCCGGGGGGAGUAUGGUCGCAAGGCUGAAACUUAAAGGAAUUGACGGAAGGGCACCACCAGGGGUGGAGCCUGCGGCUUAAUUUGACUCAACACGGGGAAACUCACCAGGUCCAGACAUAGUAAGGAUUGACAGAUUGAGAGCUCUUUCUUGAUUCUAUGGGUG
rnacentral:rRNA from 1 species